AGCGGCGGGGCUAGCCAGGUUCGGCCGGAGGCGGGGGACGUGGGGGAGCUGGCCCCGGGAGGGAGAGCCCCAGGUCGCCGGGCAGGCGGCAGCGGGGCCAGCGUCCAGGUGCUGAGCGACACGGGACAGAGCGGCCCCGGGCGCCAGAGCCCCCGGGCGCGUCUCUCCAAGCGCCGCCGCAGAGGACAGCAGUUAGGCCGGCGCCCCGCCGCCGCGUGCGGGUGGCCCAGGGCCCGGGACAGCCACCUCCAGAUGCUUCACGGGGUGGCCCGGCAUCCCGGAGCCGGCGGCGGCGCGGCCGCCCGGGGAAGCUGAGCCCGCGGCACCCGCAGCUGGGCCGCCGGGAUCCUGAGGUGGCACCCAGGUGCCCCGACCUGCCCGCCCGCCGCCCCCACGUCAGCCGGUCCCGGACGGCAGGGCCUCUUCACUUAGCUCUACGCAUGUGGGCACACGGUCUUCAAGGCCCAGAACUUGCCUCGGCUCGCCCAGGUGGUGGCGGCCCUGCCAGGGCUUGACCCGGGCUGCCUGGCACACCUGGAACCAUCAGAUCCUGGCGAGUCCUCGUCCUGCGCACGUCACGAAUUACUUCGUUGUGUUCUGUUUCGAUGGUCCUUAAGGCGCUCGGCGCCGGGGCACACGAGUGAUGGAUGAGCGCCCCGGGGGGCCAACUCGGGGGCACCUGCAAGUGUGCCUUGGGCACACCGGGCCUCCGUCUCUCAGAAGAUGAGGGCGGGGCCACGCGUGGUCAGAACAUCUCCGUGGCAGAUUGCUCCCGGAACUGAGUCGCGCAGCAAACCCCGUGGCUGUCAGUGAGGCGUCUUCUCCCAGGUGCAGGGACAGGGGUGUACACGAGGGAGGGGGAGGGGCCCAGGGUCCCCUGCCCCGGGAACUCCUGCCCGGAAGGCACCGACAUUUCUUAGAAUCAGUCCAUAGACCAGGCUUCGGAAUCCUAGUCCGACUCGGCAGUUUACUAACGCUAACUUAUCCAGGCGGCAAAGAUGCUCUGUAUCUCCAUCUAUUCAGGGCUUUGGAAUUUUCUCUCGGCAAUAUUUGGUACUAGGAUAACAGUGAGGCCUGUGGGCUAGAUUCCACACAUGGCCUGUGUUUGUAAGACCCCAGAGCUAAGAACCGUGCUGGCAACUUUAGUUGUAACACACCUGCACGCGCGCGCGCGCACACACACACACACAGAGAGAGAGAGAGAGAGAGAGAGAGAGAGAGAAAUAUGUGACAGAUCUGUCAUCCACAAAGCUAUAAUAUAUAUGUAUUAUCGGGCUUUUUUCGAGAAAGUUUGAAGCCACUGCUCUAUGGUUUUGGGACUGUAGGUCUUCCACGGCUUUUGCCAAUUUGUUUGUAAGUACUCGAUGGGGUUUGUGAAUUUCAUUUUUCAAUAGUCCAUUGGUGGUUUUUAGGAAAUACUCUAUAUGAUCUUGUGGACUGGGACCUUCCGAAAAUCACCUCACUUCUGGUAGUUUCUCUGUAGGUUCCUUAAGAUUUUCUACAAUAUAUAAUGUUUCCUGUGAAUCAUGAUUUUAUGAAUAGAGCUAGUUUUACUUCCCUUUCAAUCUGCACACCUGGUAUUUCUCUUUCUUACUUUUAUCUUUGCAGAGAGCAACAGCUGUCAGCACGGCACCGUCAGGCUUUUCUUUCCAAUGAAGACGCACCGCCGACCACACAGCUGUCUGUGAAUGGCCCCGCGGGUACAAGGACAGGCGAUACAUGGCAGGUCAAUUCUUCCUCUCUCGUUGAGUUAAAGCCGCCAAAUACGUAAGCGGAGGACAAAUGGACAAGAACGACGUAUGUGUAAGGAUAUUAUAUCUGGGAAAGAAGUGGACCUUUCGAGGCAGUGUGUUGACCUCUGGCCAGUCUCAGCGAAAUCCACAAUCUUUGAUACCUACACAAACACUGAGCUGGUGGGGCUCCCGCUUGCUCUAGGGAAAUGAAACACAGGUUAAGAUUGUUUGAUAUAACUAGUUGGGCCUGAGACUGUUCCCAGCACAGAAAAUCCAUUAGGCGGGGACGGUGGUUGCCCGCCAUUUGGAGAGGAGGAUUUUUGCUUCCUGGUUGCCGAGAUCCUAUUCUUGCCCAAGAAGACAAUGAUUGGGUUGCUGCCCCCACGCUUGUGUCCCCAAGGAAUCCCUGGGCAGGUGACAAGGAUACCCCAAAGCAAGGCUGCUCCUGGCCGGACCCACUGAAGAGACACGUAUGACCUGCUCAAAAGUUCGUAAAAAAGUGUCCGAAGCACAGGUGUUUUCUCCGUGGUGGUGGCUUCUACGAAGUCAAGGGG